UUUGCAGGGGAGAGCCUCUCCCCACUGCUUCACUUGCAAGGCAACUCUCUUGUUGUUGGCUGCCCUUCACUAUCUCCCUCUCUCUCUCCCUCUCUCUGUGUGUGUGUCCAACAAGGCACAUCACCGCAGCAGCAGCAGCAACAACAACAUAAUAAUAACAAUAGAUGCUUUCGUGUUUUUUUUUAAUCAAGCACUGGCUUGGGAGCUUCGCAUUAGCGGCGAAAAAGUGUGCGAGGAAAGUUGGUGCAAGUCUCUGAAAGUAAAUGUAGGGUUUGUUUUUAUUUGAAACUAAUUUUAUUUUUUACUUUUUUUUCGAGUCACAUUUAAAGGAGGGACAUUUGCGGAAGCAUGUAAAAAAGUCAUCGAACAAGCGUUGGUCCUCGGCCACAGAGACCCGCGUGUUGGCAUCAUCACCCGGGACCGGUCACUGACCCAACCUUGACCCGGCCACGAUGGAGGGCUGAGCGCACCUGGGAGCGAUGGCCGUGGAGAUGACACUGAGUUGCUCAAGUUCUCCCAGCGGCCCUCUCGCCAUGCAGUACGUGAACGACUUUGACCUCCUGAAAUUCGAAGUCAAGAAGGAGCCAAUGGCGAACGUCGCCGAUCUUUCAGGACCAGACUCCCCGCCCCGGAACGGAGUAGGCUGCGGUGGUGGCGGCGGUGGUGGUGCUGGUGGUGGUGCUGGUGGUGGUGCUGGCGGUGGUGGUGGAAGUGGCUGCAUUCGUCUCGGCUCCAUCUCCUCGACGCCUUGCAGCUCCGUGCCCUCGUCACCAAGUCUCAGCCCGUCGACAGACCUCAGAUCGCAUCAGUUGGAAGAGCUCUAUUGGAUGGGACCUGGUUAUGGGCAGCAGCAGCAGCAGCAGCAUCAACAACAUCAGCAGCAGCAGCCACCGCAGCAGCAGCAUCAGCAUCUCAACGCGGACCCUCUGAGUCUCACGCCGGAGGAUGCCGUCGAGGCGCUCAUCAACAGUGGCCACCACGGAACACCUCUACAUGGAUUCGAUUACAGGGGUCUGCCUCCGAACCAUCAGCAGCAGCAGCAACAUCAGCAGCAGCAGCAACAUCACAGCGACCAUCAGCAGGCCCCCUAUCUCCACGGCCCCGAGCUGGCUGAAGGACAUCACCACCAGCAGCAACAGCAUCACCACCACCAUCAGCAGCAGCAACAGCAGCCGCAGCCGCAACAACAGCAGCAGCACUUGCAAGGUGCGCUUCCUCUAACCGCCCACCACCACCAUCACAGCAACCACCACCACCACAGCAGCAGCAGUAGCAGCAGCAACCACCACCACCACCACCACCAUCACAACCUUCGUGUCGACGACCGUUUCUCGGACGACCAGCUGGUCUCCAUGUCCGUGCGCGAGUUGAACCGUCAACUCAGGGGCUUCAGCAAGGAGGAGGUCCUGCGGCUCAAGCAGAAGCGUCGGACCCUCAAGAACCGUGGCUACGCGCAGUCGUGCCGGCACAAGCGCGUGCAGCAGCGCCACCUGCUGGAGAACGAGAAGACGGACCUCCAACGGCAGGUGGACGCGCUGCGGAUGGAGUUGGCUCGUCUCGCUCGAGAGAGGGACGCGUACAAGGCAAGAUGCGAGCGUUUGUCAGCUGCGGUUACGUCCGGUGCAGCUCCGGCCGCCGUCGCCGCCGCUGCUGCUCAGUAUCAAGGAGACGAGAGGACGGGGAAAUCUUCCGACGCUUCCUCCUCCUCCGCUGCUGCUGCUGCACCAGCGCCCUCGCCUUCAGGAUACUACUCGUGAGAGACAGAGACAGAGAGAGAGAGAGACAGGGAGAGACAAAGGGGGACGAGAGAGACUCACCCACACACCCCGAUGGAUCGGAUGAAAACCCCUUCACGCGUCUCAUUUUUUAGUUGUGCUCCCUUUCUGCGCAAGAGCACAAGCGAAAGAGAGAGAGAGACACACACACAGGAGUGUACUGCCACCCUCUUUAGAUAUCUGUUUUCAACGAAUCGUGUUCAUCUCCUACUCCUCGUCACCACCGUUGCUGCUGCUGCUGUUGCUGUUGUUGUUGCUGCUGUUGUUGCUGUUGACGCUGGUGGCCGUCGCAGCAACAACGCCGAUGUCAGCGGACCGCGAGCUGCCGCGAGAACUCCGGCAAGCGACUUGCGGCGACGAGAGAGGCGAGGGAUCAGCGCCGCACGAAAACUACGAAUCCCGCUUGACCGAGGACGGUGUCGAUGACCUUCGCCGGAUCACAACAACAACAACAGCCGACAACAACAACUCGUGGAUUUUUUGCUGAUAAACCAGCGUUUUUAAAACUGGCAUGAAAAAUAAAAAAUAUAAAAAACGCUUAAACGACAGAAAUAAGCGUUGGAACAAACUGAGGACUUUUUAAUCAUCAGAACACUUUUUUUCUUUUGUAAACGCCUCGUGUAUAUAUUUUUUUGUUCUCUUUAAUUUUUUUUGUACACUGAAAAUGCAAUCGAACAGUUUCAGCUAUCAAAUGGAACUGCGAUGGACGUUAAAUCAUCGCUUGGUCAACCUCAACGAAGAACAUUUCACGAUAUUGGCAGGAUGAGUACUUUGAUUCGUCGCGCCGUGCAUCGAAGAAUUGGCCCAAGACCCGAAACGUUGGUGGGGGGGGGGGGACCCCACGGAUGAAAAUGGAAAACAAAAACACGUGGAAGAAAAACCAUGCAUACGCACGGCACUCUCAUCUGCAUCGCCCUCCAACAUGCGUUUGACCUCUCUAAGUCCCCGGCAUUGACGUCAUCUUGUGAGUCGCAAAUAAACAAAAAAAAGAGAACGACAUGACGUCACUCGGUGCACGCGGUGACGCGCCGCGAGAUGACGUCGCACGGGCGAGGCGCGUGCAUGGCGCGUGAUGACGUCGUCGAAGAGGAUCUUCGUCGUUUUAAUUAUAGAUUUGAAGCUUUCGUGACUGCAAUGAUUCAUAUUCUUAGGUUUUUUCGGUAAGGUCACGUAGGUAAAAAAAAAUUUAAACUAAAAUUGAUAAAACUAAAAUUAUUUUACUUUAUUAAAACUAAAAUUGAUAGAAGUAAAAUUAUUUUACUUUUAUAAAUUUUAGUUUACAUUUUUUACCUACUUGACUUUACCGAAAAACCCCAAGAAUAUGAAUACUUCGUCGUUUUGUGCACGUGUCGAUGGGUUUGUGAGUGCGCAGGUCUUGACUCUCCGUCCAAUUUCAUUUGCUCAGCUUUAUGCAGGGGGGGGGGGGGGGUGUAAGUCCCGGCGUAGCGACAGAAACAACAUUCAAGUUGAUAUUCGAUCAUCGUUACAAGAGUUAUUGUGACCUCCCCCCGCCAUCAGCCCCGUGUUCCAGACGGACGGACAGACAUGGCCGAUGCAUUUGUUGCAAAGCAUUAAGCGAGACACGAAUAUGCUCCCAUCACCGAUAAGGUGCCGUGGUACAUUAUAAAAUCAUUAGAAACAGUGGGGAAAUUGGGGAGGCGUUCAUCCAGCGGUGGAUUGACCACGGCUGACGAUGAUGAACGACUAUGAGAAAUGGAAUAAUCAGAGUUAGAAUGUUUAUUUAUACCGGAGGAGGAAUCCGAUGAUCUGCGAAGCUCUUUUUCACAGAUGUCCUGUAGGAGGCUGGUCAGAACGUUACAGCAAACAGUUACACAAACGCGAUAGGAGUGCAAAGAAUAAGAAAGGUGAACAGGCCACAUAGAUCUUCUUGGUUCUUUCGGUAAAGUCACGUAGAAUGGAAAUAAUAAAAUAAUAAAAAUAAAACUGAAUAAAAGAAUUCUCACGACGUUUCGGCCACAACGCAAGCAGCCGUCCUCAGGUGAAGAACAGGUCUGAAUGACACACCCCAGGCUUGGAGCGACUAUUUAAGCUGGGAUGGAAGGGGAAGAGCGCCUUGACAAAAUAAUUUGCAUAUCAAGAGGAAUUUAGCAUAUUUAUGGGAAAUAUUUAUGGGAAAUCCACAUAGACAUAUACAACUAAACUAAUUUUAUUUUACCAGGUAAAACCCCGCCGAGGUAUUAACUUAUUUUUCAGAAGAGACCUGGCCACAAACGAUAGCAAAAACACAUUCCUGCGGAGGGAGCUGGUAGGAACGUUGGGUUGCUCGGUCAAUGGCCAGGAUCAACGGCGGCGUGGUGUAUUCCGCAAAUAUGGCCGACUGUGAGGGCGGGCACAAGCCGACGUGAGUAGGUUAAACGUUGAGUUUUAUAAGGGCACCACGGGGUGACCAGCCCCUCCUCACCCAGCCCCUCCCUACCCUUUACUCCCCACUCAGCCCCUCCCCACCCUCCCCUCUCCACCCAGCCCGACCCCUCCCAUUUUUGGAUGCACGACGGACGGACGGACGGACACAAUAAUCCCCUGUGGGCUGGUGGAACCAGGUGGUUCUACCAGUAUAAUCUCAAUAAUCUCAAUGCAUGUUGCUCAAUGUGGAUGAAAGUGUGGUUACCCCCACCUCUCUAUGCGCGUCUGGCCCCAGCGUUGGACGAAUCGUGGAUCAUCACGUGGAGAUGUUUAGCAGCCGAAUAAUCUCAUCGGAAAGCAGGCACCGGAGGGUUAACACAGCGCCAUCUGUAUCAUAUUUAAAAUAUAGAAAUAUAUCUCUUCCCGCGGCAAACACGUCUAUUAUUGAUUUACCUCCCCAAGAGCCGAAUGGCUCACAGGGUUAUACAUAAUAAAUGAACUAAACUGAACUUAUCCAGCCCCUCUUUGCUACAGCAGCAGCAGCAGUAGUAGCGGCAGAA